AAGUCGUAACAAGGUUUCCGUAGGUGAACCUGCGGAAGGAUCAUUACCGAGUUAGGGUACUCUUCGUGCCCGACCUCCAACCCUUUGUCUACCUGACCAGAUGUUGCUUCGGCAGGCCCGCCGCCCCGCGAGGGGCAGCCGCCGGGGGUCCUUACCGGCCCCGGGUCCGUGCCUGUCGAUGGCCCUUCUAAAACUCUUGCUUAAACGUGUCGUCUGAGUAAAACAAACAAAAUAAAAACAAAACUUUCAACAACGGAUCUCUUGGCUCUC
rnacentral:misc_RNA from 1 species